GAUGAACGCUGGCGGCGUGCCUAAUACAUGCAAGUCGAGCGAACGGACGAGAAGCUUGCUUCUCUGAUGUUAGCGGCGGACGGGUGAGUAACACGUGGAUAACCUACCUAUAAGACUGGGAUAACUUCGGGAAACCGUAGCUAAUACCGGAUAAUAUUUUGAACCGCAUGGUUCAAAAGUGAAAGACGGUCUUGCUGUCACUUAUAGAUGGAUCCGCGCUGCAUUAGCUAGUUGGUAAGGUAACGGCUUACCAAGGCAACGAUGCAUAGCCGACCUGAGAGGGUGAUCGGCCACACUGGAACUGAGACACGGUCCAGACUCCUACGGGAGGCAGCUGUAGGGAAUCUUCCGCAAUGGGCGAAAGCCUGACGGAGCAACGCCGCGUGAGUGAUGAAGGUCUUCGGAUCGUAAAACUCUGUUAUUAGGGAAGAACAUAUGUGUAAGUAACUGUGCACAUCUUGACGGUACCUAAUCAGAAAGCCACGGCUAACUACGUG
rnacentral:rRNA from 1 species